UCCCCCGUGGCCAAAUUGGCUAAGGCGUACGACUGUUAGUAACUCACUCUUAAUCGUAAGAUUCCUGGUUCGAUCCCAGGCGGGGGAG